rnacentral:tRNA from 2 species
AGGGUCGUAGCUCAAUUGGUAGAGCAGCGGUCUCCAAAACCGCAGGUUGCGGGUUCGAUUCCUGCCGGCCCUG